UACGAAGGGGGCUAGCGUUGCUCGGAAUCACUGGGCGUAAAGGUGCGUAGGCGGGUCUUUAAGUCAGGGUGAAAUCCUGGAGCUCAACUCCAGAACUGCCUUUGAUACUGAAGAUCUUGAGUUCGGGAGAGGUGAGUGGAACUGCGAGUGUAGAGGUGAAAUUCGUAGAUAUUCGCAAGAACACCAGUGGCGAAGGCGGCUCACUGGCCCGAUACUGACGCUGAGGCACGAAAGCGUGGGGAGCAAACAGGGAAUUAAG
rnacentral:rRNA from 1 species